rnacentral:rRNA from 1 species
GACAGAGGGUGCGAACGUUGUUCGGAAUUACUGGGCGUAAAGCGCAUGUAGGCGGCAGCGCAAGUCGGGCGUGAAAUCCCACGGCUCAACCGUGGAAGUGCACUCGAAACUGCGCAGCUAGAGUCCUGGAGAGGAAGGUGGAAUGCUUGGUGUAGAGGUGAAAUUCGUAGAUAUCAAGCGGAACACCGGUGGCGAAGGACGGGCCUUGACUGGACAGUCGAACGUGCA